ACGCGGGCGGCGUGCAUAACACAUGCAUGUCGAGCGGACAGAAGAGAGCUUGCUCUAGGAUGUUAGCGGCGGACGGGUGAGUAACACGUGGGUAACCUGCCUGUAAGACUGGGAUAACUCCGGGAAACCGGAGCUAAUACCGGAUAGUUCCUUGAACCGCAUGGUUCAAGGAUGAAAGACGGUUUCGGCUGUCACUUACAGAUGGACCCGCGGCGCAUUAGCUAGUUGGUGAGGUAACGGCUCACCAAGGCGACGAUGCGUAGCCGACCUGAGAGGGUGAUCGGCCACACUGGGACUGAGACACGGCCCAGACUCCUACGGGAGGCAGCAGUAGGGAAUCUUCCGCAAUGGACGAAAGUCUGACGGAGCAACGCCGCGUGAGUGAUGAAGGUUUUCGGAUCGUAAAGCUCUGUUGUUAGGGAAGAACAAGUGCAAGAGUAACUGCUUGCACCUUGACGGUACCUAACCAGAAAGCCACGGCUAACUACGUGCCAGCAGCCGCGGUAAUACGUAGGUGGCAAGCGUUGUCCGGAAUUAUUGGGCGUAAAGGGCUCGCAGGCGGUUUCUUAAGUCUGAUGUGAAAGCCCCCGGCUCAACCGGGGAGGGUCAUUGGAAACUGGGAAACUUGAGUGCAGAAGAGGAGAGUGGAAUUCCACGUGUAGCGGUGAAAUGCGUAGAGAUGUGGAGGAACACCAGUGGCGAAGGCGACUCUUUGGUCUGUAACUGACGCUGAGGAGCGAAAGCGUGGGGAGCGAACAGGAUUAGAUACCCUGGUAGUCCACGCCGUAAACGAUGAGUGCUAAGUGUUAGAGGGUUUCCGCCCCUUAGUGCUGCAGCUAACGCAUUAAGCACUCCGCCUGGGGAGUACGGUCGCAAGACUGAAACUCAAAGGAAUUGACGGGGGCCCGCACAAGCGGUGGAGCAUGUGGGUUUAAUUCGAAGCAACGCGAAGAACCUUACCAGGU
rnacentral:rRNA from 1 species